UAGGGAAUCUUCCACAAUGGACGCAAGUCUGAUGGAGCAACGCCGCGUGAGUGAAGAAGGUUUUCGGAUCGUAAAGCUCUGUUGUUGGUGAAGAAGGAUAGAGGUAGUAACUGGCCUUUAUUUUACGGUAAUCAACCAGAAAGUCACGGCUAACUACGUGCCAGCAGCCGCGGUAAUACGUAGGUGGCAAGCGUUGUCCGGAUUUAUUGGGCGUAAAGCGAGCGCAGGCGGAAGAAUAAGUCUGAUGUGAAAGCCCUCGGCUUAACCGAGGAACUGCAUCGGAAACUGUGUUUCUUGAGUGCAGAAGAGGAGAGUGGAAUUCCAUGUGUAGCGGUGGAAUGCGUAGAUAUAUGGAAGAACACCAGUGGCGAAGGCGACUCUCUGGUCUGCAACUGACGCUGAGGCUCGAAAGCAUGGGUAGCGAACAGG
rnacentral:rRNA from 1 species